AUUGAACGCUGGCGGCAGGCUUAACACAUGCAAGUCGAGCGGGGAGAUGUAGCUUGCUACAUUUCCUAGCGGCGGACGGGUGAGUAAUGCUUAGGAAUCUGACUAUUAGUGGGGGACAACAUUACGAAAGGAAUGCUAAUACAGCAUACGCCCUACGAGGGAAAGCAGGGGAUCUUCGGACCUUGCGCUAAUACAUGAGCCUAAGUGGGAUUAGCUAGUUGGUGGGGUAAAGGCCUACCAAGGCGACGAUCUGUAGCGGGUCUGAGAGGAUGAUCCGCCACACUGGGACUGAGAAAUGGCCAAGACUCCUACGGGAGGCAGCAGUGGGGAAUAUUGGACAAUGGGGGUAACCCUUAUCCAGCCAUGCCGCGUGUGUGAAGAAGUCCUUUUGGUUGUAAAGCACUUUAAGCGAGGAGGAGGCUACCGAGAUUAAUACUCUUGGAUAGUGGACGUUACUCGCAGAAUAAGCACCGGCUAACUCUGUGCCAGCCGCCGCCGUAA
rnacentral:rRNA from 1 species